AGGAAAAAAACCCAUCCCACCUACAGAAGCUGGAAGAAGUGAUAUCCAGGUGGACUUAACCAGGGUGUAUCUGCCUUCUUCAUACGAGCUCAAAAGCUGUGGUAAAUCCAAACGAUGGAGUACUACUCAGCGGUAGAAAGGAACAAGUUCUCCAUAGAGGCAACAGCAUGGAUGAAUCUCGAAAAUGCGAUGCGGGAUGAAAAACCUUCAACAAGAGGGCAAACCGUCUGGCUACACUGAUAUGAAGUCCUAGGAAUAGGAGAAGCUAAUCUAUGAAGGUAAAUGAAAAUGGAUGUGGCCUGUUAAGACCCACGGCCUUCCCAUGACACGAUCUAAGUGCUGUUCACAGACAGCCACGGAACCCUCUAGUUGGGGACAGAAGACUCAUGGAAGCAGCCUUCCUACCCCACUGGCUGAUACUGCUGCCUUCUGAGCCCCUUCAGAUUAUCAAGAAAAUCUGAGGCAAAGGAAAGACCUGCGAGCUGAGACGUGUUCCCUUGGAGGAGACCCAGCACUGAUGGACCACACUGUCCCCCUCCCGCAUAGCCAGGAUGCAGUGCUGCUCACUUCCAUCUGCUCUUUGGUUCUGCAGGGAGAUGAGGGGUCUGGAAUCGGACAGCCUGGGCUGGACCGCCUGCUCUGCCCCUUACCAGCUAUGUAAUCGUGAGCGCUUUAACCUCUCCAAGGCUUAGUGUUCCUCGUCUGUAAAAUGGGGAUAAUGACCGCACUGACUUCAGUGGGCAGCUGUGAGGGUUAAGAGAGCGAAUGCACCUGGAGCGCUCAGCACAGCGCCCGGCACACAGUGGAGCUCACAGAACGUCAGCAUUCCUCGAGAGAGAAGACUCUUUGACCAGAUGUCAGGGUUCUCCAGAGGGAGCUGCUCAGCUUCAAAGGAAACGUUACGCCAAACUUCGAGGUGCUUAAUCGUCAGACGAGGUCUUGGGCCGUUAGGGAGGCCAGCUUGGUCAUUGCUACUCAAGACCCGAGCCUCAGCCCCACAGGAUGUCAUCACCUGGGAACAGGUUUAAAAUGAAGACUCUUGGGCCCCAGCCUAGAUCAGCAGAAUCAGAAUCUGCAUUGUAACAAGAUUCCUGGGUGAUUCAUAGGCAUGGUAAAACUCCAGAAGCACUGUGUUAAGUUAUCACCUAUUAUGGACUGAAUGUUUGUGCCCCCCCAAUACACAUGUUGAAUCCCUACCCUCUCAGUGUGAUGGUAUUAGGAGGUGAGGCCUUUGGGAGAUAAUUAGGAUUAGAUGAGGUCCUAAUGGUGGAGCCCUUAUAAAGGGGAUCAGUGCCCUUAUAAGAGCUACCAGAGAGCUUGCUUCCUCUGCUCUGCUCUCUGCCACAUGAGGAUGUAAGAAGUUAGCCAUCCACAACCCAGAAGAGGGCUCUCAUCAGAACCCUAUGAUGCUGGUACCCUGAGUUCAGACUUCCAGCCUCCAAAACUCUGAGAAAUAAAUGUCUGUUGUCUGUAAGCUACCAGUUUAUGGAAUUUUGUUAGAGCAGCCCAAGCUAAGACAUCCUCUUAAUUAAUCUCACAUGGUCAGAGAAGAGAGGGACUUGGAGAUAACUGGGUUAAAACCUGCAGCUCAGAAAGGUUAAGUAACUUGUCUAGAGUGGGUUCAGGGCAGAGCCCAGACGGUGCUUUUGGAUCCCUUGACCCUGAGACUGGUCUGGGGUCAGCCGUGCCUCCAGCGGAACAGGAUGCUGCUCUCUCCCUUUGAGUAGUUUCAGGGAUACAGGGAUACAGCCUCAAGAUACUGCCACAGGGGGCUUAGGAAGGGGGAGGAUGUUUCAUUGGGAAUAUUUUUUUUGGGGGGGUUGCACCCAGUUACUCAGAUGACAUUAGUGGAGGAUGCGACGUGAUGGAGGAAAAUACCGAAACACGUUCUUCUCACCCUUCAUGACCUCCGUGCACUCCUGCCCUUUGAACCCAGCGUGCUUCAGGUGAGAGACACAUGAGACCAGCUAACAGUGAUGUUCCAGAGAGAGCACCUGGGCGGCAGAGGAUCUCGGGGGCUGGGAAAUAGGGUAGGGAGGUUGUUUUCAUGGUAUACCUUUAU